rnacentral:tRNA from 1 species
GGGUGGUGGGUGGCGGUCGACUUCUAAUCCGACGGUCGCAGGUUCGAAUCCUGCAGGGC